rnacentral:rRNA from 1 species
GGAUUAGAUACCCUGGUAGUCCACGCCGUAAACGAUGAUAGCUAGCCGUCGGGGUGCAUGCAUCUCGGUGGCGCAGUUAACGCAUUAAGCUAUCCGCCUGGGGAGUACGGCCGCAAGGUUAAAACUCAAAGGAAUUGACGGGGGCCUGCACAAGCGGUGGAGCAUGUGGUUUAAUUCGAAGCAACGCGCAGAACCUUACCAGCUCUUGACAUCCCGUGCUACUUGCGGAGACGCAAGGUUCCCUUCGGGGACGCGGUGACAGGUGCUGCAUGGCUGUCGUCAGCUCGUGCUG